CUUCCAAACUGCUGGGAUUACGGGCUUGAGCCACAGCUCCUGGCCCCAAAGCCAUAUCUUAAUGCAGAAUGAUGUUCAGCAAGGGCGAGUUGAUUUGGUAGAGAAAAAAAGAGAGAAAACUCUGUGAUUGUUACGGAUCCACAAUGAAGAAAGCACAGGGUUCCCUGAUAAAUCUCCGCACCCCUCAGCCUCCAUUGGCCAUUAUUUUGACAUGGUCUUGUCACCUCUCCUGCCAAACCUUUAGUUACAGAACGUUGGCACUGAGAAGAGAAUUUCUUCAUGGGUCAUUUUUCUAAAACUUGAUGCCUGAGUGAAAAGCGUGAAUGGUUGGCCAAAUUCAUGUAUCACGCAAUGCAACAGUGCGACAUUGCAGCCCAAGAGGAAGUUUCACAUUUCAGCUGCACUGAAACAAGACUUGACUGCUACAUGCUUGUGCAAUUACAGAAGUAGCUAUCCUUUCUCCUGGAUCAUCAAAGACUACCUGUCUCAAAGUAAAAUAAACCCGUAAAUUAAGUUAGACAAUAUUUUAAACACAACCCUUACUAAUGUCACGAUUUAUUAAAUUAAGAUGUCUCGGGCUGACUAAAAAGGAAAUCAUGAUAGGCCACAAUGCACACUGUGGGGUUUGGAGGCCCCCUGUCCAGAGCCAGAUUUUCCUGCCUGAAAGCCCUAGGCUCCCUGGACUGUCUGAAAAGACUACACUUGCUCCAAGUUCCAUGUCGAAAGUCUCCUGGGCAGAAUUCCUUAAUCCCCACUCCUGGUUCCUCUCCCCGUGUGAUACGCCAACCAGUGCCCUACUGCCAGCUCAAAGAAGAGGAGACCUUCAUUUAAUGAACUUGAACGUCUCAGUGUCCAGUAUGACUCCAUAUGGAACGCGUGAAUAAUCACAGACAGCAUCUCAGUGUCCACUACGACUCCAUAUGGAACGGGUGAAUAACCACAGACAGCAUCUCAGUGUCCAGUACGACUCCAUAUGGAACGCGUGAAUAAUCACAGACAGCAUCUCAGUGUCCACUACGACUCCAUAUGGAACGCGUGAAUAAUCACAGACAGCAUCUCAGUGUCCAGUACGACUCCAUAUGGAACGCGUGAAUAACCACAGACAGCUUCGCAUGGUUAAUAGCUGCACGCUCAUCCUGAAAACAGCGCAACUUGCAAUAGAGCAAAGUAAGAAGUGCCGGUGUUCUGGAAACCUAACCCUCCUAUCCUGGGAUCUAGACCACAGCCUCUUCAUCAGGGGGAAAAAGAACACACCUUCUUAAUCAAUCUGGACCUCUUUCUUUUAAUUAAUACAGCUCGUUAUCCUAGUUCCACAGGGGCUCGUUAGUGCCUAGGUGACAAUCAUGACAAUGCCUUCCUGAAAGUUAAGAGAUGAAGACUGCCUAUUUCCUUACCUAUUACAACUACGCUCUGUGAGGCCUUAGGGAGAUGCUUGGUAGAAUAAAUGCUGGUCUCCCCUUCCCAUCUUCGGGUGAAUACAGACAAAUUGAAAUUUAAAAAAAUACGUACUUGCACAUUUUGUGUUGUUCAGUAAUGACAAGCCUAGAUUUCGUUUUUCAAAAAAGGAGGAUUUCUUAUUAACAAUUGUACAUGCUGAGUUCCAAGUAGAUGAAAAAACAGUUUUUCUGACUCCUGACAAAACCAAUGGGUCACUUGAUUUGUGUCCAUUGUAUCACCCAGUAUAAAUACGGAGGGAUAGGUUACAUGAACGUUUCCAAACAAAAGUGCAUUUUUGAACUCACAACCAAGAUAUUUUACCUAACCAAGAAUGUAACUGAGUCACAAUAAUACUUUGUGUUUACAGACUACGUUCUUAAGAUGCUUAACCUGCCUUAUCAAUGUUAUGUUACCUUGUCGGGAGCCAUGACUGGGAUAUUAUUUUUAUUAAAUGA